AUUGAACGCUGGCGGCAGGCUUAAACCAUGCAAGUCGAGCGAGCGGCGGCCUGGUGAGUAAUGUCUGGGAAACUGCCUGAUGGAGGGGGAUAACUCCUGGAAACGGUCGCUACUACCGCAUACCAUCAGAUGUGCCCAGAUGGGAUUAGCUAGUAGGUUGGGUAAUGGCUCACCUAGGCGACGAUCCCUAGCUGGUCUGAGAGGAUGACCAGCCACACUGGAACUGAGACACGGUCCAGACUCCGACGGGAGGCAGCAGUGGGGAAUAUUGCACAAUGGGCGCAAGCCGGAUGCAGCCAUGCCGCGUGUAUGAAGAAGGCCUUCGGGUUGUAAAGUACUUUCAGCGGGGAGGCGUUACCCGCAGAAGAAGCACCGGCUAACUCCGUGACAGCAGCCGCGGUAAUAC
rnacentral:rRNA from 1 species